CUUCAGCGUUCCUCCCUGGGGAUAAUUUAGUCGUUGGGAGUGCCUGGAUGAACCCUCUCACUCUCUCGUGCUGGUUAUUAGCUCCCAGAAGAAAGAGCUAGCGAGAUUAGAGUGACAAGUUAGCGUAGAUGUGACGUGGACCAGGCAGGUGGACCAGGCAGGUGGACCAGGCAAGUGGACUAGCAAGUGGACCCAGCAGGUGGUUGAAACAGAACCAACGCCAGCCACUCCUUCAGGAAUCAUCUCAAGAUAACCUCGUCAGGUUACCAUUAUUCACCCACAGUAACAGGGAAGAAUGCAAGUCACCAUUACCCUGGCUGCACCAACACCGUGGCUGCAACAACACCGUGGCUGCAACAACACCGUGGCUGCAACAACACCGUGGCUGCAACAACACCGUGGCUGCAACAACACCGUGGCUGCAACAACACCGUGGCUGCAACAACACCGUGGCUGCACCAACACCGUGGCUGCACCAACACCGUGGCUGCAACAACACCGUGGCUGCAACAACACCGUAGCUGCAACAACACCGUGGCUGCAACAACACCGUGGCUGCAACAACACCGUGGCUGCAACAACACCGUGGCUGCAACAACACCGUGGCUGCAACAACACCGUAGCUGCAACAACACCGUGGCUGCAACAACACCGUGGCUGCAACAAUACAGUGCCUAUAACAAUACAGUGCCUAUAACAAUACAGUGGCUAUAACAAUACAGUGGCUAUAACAAUACAGUGGCUAUAACAAUACAGUGGCUAUAACAAUACAGUGGCUAUAACAAUACAGUGGCUGGAACAAUACCGUAACUGCAACAAUUUCCUGACAAACAGUGAAUGCUACAACUAGAUCUGUUUACAAUACGAUAAUUCAUAUCAGAAAGUUACCCCUUCCCCUCCUCUACCUCCAUAGGUUUUGAACUGAGCUCAUGUACGUGUGCAAGUGUACUAUGUGGUACAAUACUAGUAUAUGUACUCUUGUAAAAGUACAUAUAUUUUUUUACUCACGUUACUUUGCACCGACCUCAGCUGAGUACAAGGCAGUUGCACAAUCUUCAGCUGUCUCCUCCUUCCUUUGUACUGACAAAGGACGGAAGCGUACAUGUACACCCACAGCUGUUCAUGUAUGUACAGUUGUGGGUUUACAUUUGUAUAUAUGGAAAUAUAAUUAUAGGGAAGCUUUAAAACCGUAGGGGGGUCAUAAAGCGUGUAGUACUGUUAGGUGAAUAGAUAAACAAACCCCAAGAUAUCUACUUAUUUCUAGGUGAGCCGGGGUAAUACCAGUACUUAUGUCAUCCUGUGUGAUGGAGUAUGACAGGAGAACCAUCCUGUGUGAUGGAGUAUGACAGGAGAACCAUCCUGUGUGAUGGAGUAUGACAGGAGAACCAUCCUGUGUGAUGGAGUAUGACAGGAGAACCAUCUUGUGUGAUGGAGUAUGACAGGAGAACCAUCCUGUGUGAUGGAGUAUGACAGGAGAACCUUCCUGUGUGAUGGAGUAUGACAGGAGAACCAUUCUGUGUGAUGGAGUAUGACAGGAGAACCAUCCUGUGUGAUGGAGUAUGACAGG